rnacentral:misc_RNA from 1 species
AAAUAAAGCCAUUUUGGGUACUGAAACCGAACUCCCAAAAGACAAAAACAAAAGAGCUGACUCUGUUAAUGAAUGGAAGUAACUGAAAUUAAAACUAUGGGAGGAACUGACAACUCUAUUACUACUACUAUUCCAAGAUUUGCCAAGAUCCAUGCUAUUGGAAGAACCCAAUUUCAGCAUCAGCUCAUAAAACCCACCUCUUUUUUGCAAUUUUUUUUUUAUACAAUUAACCCCUUUUGCUUUCUUCUUUUGUCACACAAAAAAAUGAAAGAAAAGGUAUGAAACUAUUGAAG